rnacentral:rRNA from 1 species
GCUACCUGCAGUCGACGGUAGCACAGAGAGCUUGCUCUCGGGUGACGAGUGGCGGACGGGUGAGUAAUGUCUGGGAAACUGCCUGAUGGAGAGGGAUAACUACUGGAAACGGUAGCUAAUACCGCAUAACGUCGCAAGACCAAAGAGGGGGACCUUCGGGCCUCUUGCCAUCAGAUGUGCCCAGAUGGGAUUAGCUAGUAGGUGGGGUAACGGCUCACCUAGGCGACGAUCCCUAGCUGGUCUGAGAGGAUGACCAGCCACACUGGAACUGAGACACGGUCCAGACUCCUACGGGAGGCAGCAGUGGGGAAUAUUGCACAAUGGGCGCAAGCCUGAUGCAGCCAUGCCGCGUGUAUGAAGAAGGCCUUCGGGUUGUAAAGUACUUUCAGCGGGGAGGAAGGUGUUGUGGUUAAUAACCGCAGCAAUUGACGUUACCCGCAGAAGAAGCACCGGCUAACUCCGUGCCAGCAGCCGCGGUAAUACGGAGGGUGCAAGCGUUAAUCGGAAUUACUGGGCGUAAAGCGCACGCAGGCGGUCUGUCAAGUCGGAUGUGAAAUCCCCGGGCUCAACCUGGGAACUGCAUUCGAGGCUGGCAGGCUAGAGUCUUGUAGAGGGGGGUAGAAUUCCAGGUGUAGCGGUGAAAUGCGUA